AUGAAGUUACUGCUAAUGCUCAUCCUCCUACUGAUAUCAGAUUGUGAGUCAGAAAUGAAGAGAUUCACAUCAGAAUGGACUGAAUUCACCUGCAACUGUCAAAAAACACCUGGAAAAUGUCAAAUGGUCUGUGUAGCUGAUUGUGGCUCAAAAACUGGAAAAAAGACUCUCAGAGUAAUCCUCAAACAAGUUGAGAACAAGGACCCCAAAAGGAAUGAUGACAAAAAAGAACUGAAAUUUAAACUUGAGGAAAAUGGCUGUCCAAAGCAAUUCAAUCAAACUGCAUACAAAAAAGCUAAAACCACCAUCAGAUGCAAUCAUCCUGAAAAUAAAUCUGAGUUGUGGUUUUUCUGCAAAGAGAACUCUUCUGUCUGUAACAACAUUUUAUCAGACAGAAGAUCCUUUCUCACAAACACAUACAGUGUCUCCAUCAGUGACGUGUCCAUUGAGGACAAGGGUGUCUACUGGUGUGGAGUAAAGUUCACUGAGAACAAUCAUCAUGUCGCACUCACAAAAGUAAAAUUGAAAGUUGAAGAGAUUAAAAAUGUCAAAAGAAGCCCAGUUGUUGGACAGAACUUCACUUACUGGUGUAAAUACAACCAGACUGUCUCCUCAACAACAAAGUUCAUCUGUAAGGGAGAAGAUCCAUCCAUAUGUCAAGCUCUCGUAAACACCAGGCAGCCUGGUGUGAACAACAGGUUUUUCAUGACUGAUAACACAAAAGAGAAAAACAUCACGAUAACAGUGAGAGAAGUAACAGCAGCAGACAGCGGGACGUACUGGUGUGGAGCAGAAACAAAACAACAACAACGCAGCAACAAGUUCUUCAACAGACUGUUUCUGACAGUCACCUUUGGGAUUACCACUGCUGUGAUCAUCGGCGUGGCUGUGUUUCUGAUCGGUUUCUUUCUUAUUUACAUACGAGUUUCAUGUAUAAAAAACAAAGGAAUUAGUGCAUCAUUGCAGCACGUCAAAGAGGACUCUGCCUAUGAGGAAAUCCAGGAGCGCCUCCAGACGCCAGGAAAUGCAGUGGACUCGAUUUAUGUCACUGCCGGCAGGUACACAGAUGUUACCUCCUUACAUUACUCUACCAUCAACUUUCAGAGCCACUCUCAGGAAGCUGGUGGUGAGGAAGUGAAUCCCAGCACGUCUGCCUGUGAAUAUUCUACUGUGGAUUUCAGAAAACGUCCAGAUAACUCAACCGUCACUCAACCAUCCAGACCAGCAGAGGAGAAUCUCUACUCAGCAGUCAAUGAGCUAGAGCAAAUAUGA
rnacentral:lncRNA from 1 species